AUGUGCAAAUUAAUAAUAUCAUAAAAAUAUAUUUUGUUGUAACCUAUAUAUUCAAUAUCUUACAAAUAAACACUGUCUAAAGUUAGCUCUGGGUCGUUUCCAGAUAUUUCCAGGUAUCUAUUAUAUAUAUUGUUUUAGAAUAUACGAACCUUACACACUAUUGACGCUCACCUAAGUUCUGUUUGAUGACUUAUUUAGAAUCUUGUUCUUAUAUUUGGCAAAAUUGAGACCAACCUAGUUUAACUGUGGUAACAAAUCAAGGAGAAAAUCAAUAGCGCUUAUAAGAUAUGUACUAGCGACAACGAACGCAUUGUCAGGUGCCAUUUCGACCACUGUGAAUUACAAGAAAUAGCAUGGGUUCAUGAAGGGUGAUGUUUAUAAUAAUGACUGACUAUGAUGAAAUGGUUGAUACAAAAGUUAAUAGGAUUUUUUCACUCAUAUAUUUCUGUGGAGAAAUAAAGUGAAUUGAUAAAAUCAAUUGAUAGGCUGGAAAAUCGUUCCUAGCGUACGAAGAUUAAAUUCAAUUAUUGAUCGAGGGAUUUACUUUCACCACAUAUUAGAUUUUUUGAUUCUGUACUUCAGCAGCAUCACUGAAAGUGUUGUUAAGGUUGCAUGUAAUGCAACUAAACUGUUGCAUAAGUUAUGGAAUAUUAAAACUGUUCGAAGUGAAAGAAGUCCUGUAUGGAAGCUAUACCUUUACUUGCUCAAUAUCACAAGAUGACAAAUUUGAAAAGAAGAGAAUAUCAAGAAUAUGACUUGAGUCCUGAAUAUCAUCAUUUACCUUUCUCUUCAGUACUUUUUACGGAUAUGAUGUACACCAAAAAUCAAAAGAGAUUUAUGUAAUGGAUUUCAACUGGUUGCGAAUGAAUAUUGGUUGUAGAACCACUGUGAUGCAGAGACAAUAAAAGAUAAGCGGACGAUACCAAAGAGAUAUUCAAACUCAUAAGUCGAAUACAAACUGACAAUGCCUUGGCAAAAAAAAAAGAAAAAAAGAAAAA